GAUGAACGCUGGCGGCGUGCCUAAUACAUGCAAGUCGAGCGAACAGAUAAGGAGCUUGCUCCUUUGACGUUAGCGGCGGACGGGUGAGUAACACGUGGGUAACCUAUCUAUAAGACUGGAAUAACUCCGGGAAACCGGGGCUAAUGCCGGAUAACAUGUUGAACCGCAUGGUUCUACAGUGAAAGGCGGCUUUGCUGUCACUUAUAGAUGGACCCGCGCCGUAUUAGCUAGUUGGUGAGGUAACGGCUCACCAAGGCAACGAUACGUAGCCGACCUGAGAGGGUGAUCGGCCACACUGGAACUGAGACACGGUCCAGACUCCUACGGGAGGCAGCAGUAGGGAAUCUUCCGCAAUGGGCGAAAGCCUGACGGAGCAACGCCGCGUGAGUGAUGAAGGUCUUCGGAUCGUAAAACGCUGUUAUUAGGGAAGAACAAAUGCGUAAGUAACUGUGCGCGUCUUGACGGUACCUAAGCAGAAAGCCACGGCUAACUACGU
rnacentral:rRNA from 1 species